UACGGGGGGGGCAAGCGUUGUUCGGAAUUACUGGGCGUAAAGGGCUCGUAGGUGGCCAACUAAGUCAGACGUGAAAUCCCUCGGCUUAACCGGGGAACUGCGUCUGAUACUGGAUGGCUUGAGUUUGGGAGAGGGACGCGGAAUUCCAGGUGUAGCGGUGAAAUGCGUAGAUAUCUGGAGGAACACCGGUGGCGAAGGCGGCAUCCUGGACUGGUCCUGACACUCAGGAGCGAAAGCGUGGGGAGCGAUCCGG
rnacentral:rRNA from 1 species